rnacentral:piRNA from 1 species
UGGUGCAAUGAACACCAGACAGGUGGAGAA